GGGGCCGGUUAGCUCAGAUGGUCAGAGCGUGGUGCUAAUAACGCCAAGGUCAUGGGUUCAAUCCCCAUGAAAGUCUGCUUCA